ACGCGGGGGGGAUUCUUUGAGAUACCUUUUCCAAGUCUAGUGGUGAGGUUCGGUUAUUACCAUGUAUUUUAGGAUUGAGUAGUGGUAGGACCAGUCAGGCCCUUUGAAAUGUAGGCUCAUACCAAGUAACAAAAUAGUUUUAAAAAUGUAUAAUAUACGGAGUAUAGCUAAAGAGGUGGCAAGUCCCGUUAGCGCAUAAAAUGGCGGAGUCAUCGCCCGGUUGACGAGUACUGCGUAGAUCCUCUUAAUUUUGAUUGUAUAAAGCAGGGGAAGACGUUUUUUUAAGGAAUAAGAUGUAAGACCCCGUAAGGUUCCGUCGUUUACAACAUGGCCGCCUGUCCCAUCUACAAAACUAUAAACACAUAGUUUCAUCAAUUAAUCAACUUGUUUUCGUGGACGACCCAGGAUGGACCCUAGUUAUUCACCAGUAUUAAUAACACCUCCGUAAUUUAGAACAAAAUAAUUAAAUUCAAGGUAUAAAUAUAGUUUUUAUUUUCAUUUUUCUUCAUUAAUUUGCGAUAUCACUAACGUAACGUCAUUGGGCACAUGUCGAGUCCCUUUUUAUUGCUAUGUGGUGCCCAGUUCUGCUAAGUUUUACAUUGUCGAAAGCAAAUAGUUAAAUAAACAAAUAAAUAAAUGAUAUCUCGCGCGUAUAACAACGUAUGCGUCUGUUCUCGUUCUCAUAAUAUUCAACUUGUAACAAAUGACAUGACCGACUACAUUCGACAGUAAAAUUAUUAGCAGAAUUAAGGAUAUGAUUAAUAAUAAUUCAAACGAAUUAGUUUGUUAAAUUAAAACCACACACUAAUAGUUUUACGAUUAGCACUCAUUUUACAAAACACAAAGCAUGUUAGAAUAUAAUAAUGCCUCCCAUUCAUUGAAAUGGUCCAAAAGUCGCAUCACCAGUCAUCAUUUGGUCCGCGUAGAGGACAGAUACACUUGAUUUAAUACCGGAGAUGCUUAGUAUUACGUUACUGUUAAUUCUACUAACUCACCUUUACGUUUCUAUUUAGAAAAUUCAUUUAACACCGAGACUAAGGAGGUCGGAGCUAGAUUUAACUAUUGCAAACUUAUUUAAUUUUUCAGAUGUUUUAUUAUUAUGUUGGCGGCGUCAGGCAGGCUUAUUACCAACGGAUCGUAGGCAGCGAUGUUAGUUUCAAAAGUCUAUGAACAAAACUUGGCAGCAGUUAACUCAUGAGGCGAAUAUGAGAUUUAUCUAUCUAGGUAAACUAGGUAUAACUUUAUAUAUAUUCACUAGCUAUAUCUAUCUUUGUAAUUCAAAUGUUUCUGAAACUGAUUUACUAUGUAUUAGGACAUAUUUGUCGUUCAAUGUUUAAAGUUUACAAAAGUUAAUUACGUUGUCUAUUAUUUGAGUGAGGGGUCAGAAUAUAUUUAUAAACAUAGUUAAUUCUCAUAGUUUUUAUGUAUUACAUUCACAUCACUAAGUUUUAUUUAGUACAUGAAUUAGAGAUGUAAGUUGAGAGAAAGGAGUUCCAAUGUAAUUAGAUCUUAUAGAGUAACGUGUAGUUAUGAGUGAGCACAAUAAACCGGGCGAUGACUUAGAUUAUUUUAUGACUAGGAUAUGUUAUUAAUAUUUAUCACAUUCAGUGUUUGACAUCUUACAAUAUGGUAGAAUUAAAUCGUUAUAGGACUAGUACGGUAGAUUACUCGUUAGGUAUUAUGUACGACAAUUAUGUACAGUAUAAUGUAGUUAAGAUAUCUCCAGACUAUGAUAGCAUUAAGUAGACGACUCAUACAAUAAGCUUGUGUUAGUGAACUAGGUAGGUAGGAGUGUAGCCCCUGGUUUUUAGGGUUUAAACAGGCCGUAGAUUCAGGAUGUUCUUAUUUAGACUCCAUAAAACGAAUCUGGAAGAAGCCUAAUUUGUUGGCAGGCUUAGAUUAAAACUACUAAACUCCCAGGCGAGGCUUUUCCUGCUAUACUUAGGUCGUAGGAUAAUAACUAAAUAAGGUCCACAUAUUGAUAACGUUUAGAAGUAUUAUUUAGACGUAGAAUUUUGGCUGCUGAAUACUGUAUUUCUUUGCAAUUUUAAGAUUAAGUAAAUAGUAUUACGAUCUAGUUUUAGGAUAUUAGUGUUAGCAAAGUCAUUCGCUUCGGAUUUCAUGCCCUUGAUUGCGAUUCUCUACCAAAUAACAACUUGAAGGAACUCGAAUAUUACUUAUUUGAAAAUCGAACACUUAAUCAAUAAUUUAUGUACAUUUUUAAUGAAGUAAUUAUAAUUAUUUUUGUACUAAAUCUGAUCAUGUUCAUAUGACAACAUUGUCUCGAUUGUUUUAUCUGUCCCCGAACGAAUUCUUAAUUUUAUUGACAAAAAAUGUUUUUAUAAAAUAAUAUAUUUUACAAUUUUUGAAAAAUACAAUUCUUUGACGUUCUGUAAAUCGUUGUAAAAGUGAUUAUAAUAAAUCAUUAGUAAUCAAAGUCUCAAUUUUGUUUCCCUUUGUGUAAAUACUUAAUUUUCCUAAGACUAUAAGAAUUUCUACUUGAACAGUAAAUUUUUAAAUUUUAUUAACAACAUUGACUUUUUUAUUUUAACUUCUUAUUUAUUGACAAAGAUUUUUUAUUGAAAUUAUUUUAACAAUACUUUGUUCCGCUUGAAUACAAAAUUGCUUCGACUUGACUUAUUAUAUUAAAAUUAUUUUUUAAACUAGCAAUAGAUACCAUUGCUAUUUCUAGUCAAUAGAAUUUAGACUUUAUCUACUUACUAUUACAACUCGACUUGACUUGAUAACUAUUCCUAGAUCCUACUGACAUUUUAUCAACACUGCAUCGUUUGCAGUAACUCUAUAAUCGAAGUUACCAAGAGAAGCUUUUAGUUUUCGCUAUAAUUGAGAUGUUAUUAGAUAUUAAUUAUCUAUAAUAUUCUAGUUAAUAGAUUAACAUUAAGAAAUCGUCGCUAAACGAAUGAAAUUUAUUUAAGUUGACGAAUUAAAUUCGCUAGGCUAGCUGUUGCUAAGUCGAAAGCUCGAAAGCGAAAGAAAAAGGUCAGGUAGGCCUAAAUUUUCUUAUUUUUGGCGAUUAUCAGUCUAGUUCUUCUAGAUAUGGUUUAGGUUAUAUUUUAUUUUUGAAAUUUCAAUACCUUAUCUUACCGAUUUUGAAGAUCUCCCCUGAAUAGUUUUUACUUUCCCGGCAAAAAUGCCAGGGACAUAAUCGAUCUUAUUAAACGUAGCUAGAAAAUUCUCGAGAAUUUUAUACGUACGGUCUAACUAUUUAAUAUUUUAUAAAGAUUCUUAAUUCACCUAUUUUCAAAAUCUUCUGAAGAAAGAUGUCCACUAUGUUUCACAAGUGCCUUAUUUCCUGUCGAUUUUGGGGUUAAAAUUUUUAUUUUUCAUUAUUUUUUUCUUCAAAUAACUGACUUACAAGACUGUAGAGGACAUGCUCCCCUUCCUUUUAAAGUAAUUCACAUUGUUUUUUAAAUUUGAUUUUUUAAGUGCAUAGGUCGAGUAUCUCAAACAAAGUCCCUUUCGAAGCCCUCUCUUAGAAUGUUCUAUUAUUAAUUAUCUGUGGGGUAUAAUUUAUGGGGCUUUAAGUUGUAAAAUAUAGCUCCCCGAUAGGGUGACUUAGGUAAACGUCGUUCUUUCUAAAAAAAAAAACAAAUCUACUGAGUUUCUUGCCGGUUCUUCUCAGUCGAUUGUAGGUUCCGAACCGGUGGUAGAGUAAAAAAAUAAAUAAAUAAAUGAAAUAAUAAAUGUACAAAAAUGAUAAAUAAAUGAAUUUUAUUAAACCUA